UUUACCUGAAUCCAACAAAUGUUGAGACCGAGGGCCUAACAUUGUCCAUAAUGGAGUGCGGUCCCGAAAACCUGGGGAACAAGGAAUCAGGCUGGUGGACUUGAGGCAUAAUUUAUUGCCCUGCUUCGUAUUCUGAGGGAGAACUCUACGAUUGAAUUAAGCCCGAUUCUGUUUUCACCUUGUGGCCAUUUUUAUUGCAGUUUGCGCAACUUCUAUGAUUUCCACCAGGGUACAGCCAGUAGAUACGUGGGUGACAGCGUCUAUACUGGCUCGAUGCCUCUCACGUGCCGCCCUGUCAUCAGGAGAGAAAACUCGGUGGAACGUGAAACCGAGGAAUAGUAGUACAUCCAUGCGGUGCUGUUCUGUUGCAGAUUUCCUCCAUCAGGCUUCAGGGGUUUGAUACAUGCGCUCACGGAUAGCCCUCCAUUGACGGUGGCUGGCGAUAAGAAACUUUCAGUUGAUGCCGAACAGCGCCAUGGAUUCGUCCAUGACCUGCCUAGUGAAGCGGCUACCCUGUUCAAAUUCAGCCCGGUGGGGCAGGCCUUAACUUGUGAAAAGACCAGCUGCACUGAGAUAACAAAGUGUGAGGCUGGAUGAACACAACAGGCCAAGCAGCAUCUCAGGAGCACAAAAGCUGACAUUUCGGGCCCAGACCCUUCACCUUAGCUGUGUUUAUGUGUGUGGACAACAACCCGUUUGGAAAAGAUGGUUAGUUGGUCUUUGUCUUUGCCACAAUGGUUGCUGCUUCUUCAUCUCCAGAAGGUUCAAGAGAGCAAUCUGCAGCCCUACAAGCCUUUCCUUUAAAGUCUAAUUCCCCUUGAAAGCCUCAAAUGAACAACAUAUUUUAGAUCUGAACCACUCGCUGUGUGAAAGAUUCUUCCUCAUGUUUCCACUGUUUCCUUUGAUCACCUUAAAUUUGUCUCUGGUUCCUAAUGGGAACAAUUUCUCCCUAUCUAUUAUGUCUAGACAUUGAUUUUAAACAACUUACUCAAAUCUUUUCUCUAGGGAAAACAUUUCCUAAUUUUUGCAAUCUAACUUCACAACUGAAGUUCCUCAAUCCCUGGAGCCGUUCUUGUGAACCUUUUCUGCACCUUCUCUCACGUUUUCAUAGACUUCUUAAAAUGCAGCCACCAUGACCACCUGAGGCUAUACUGAUAUUCCAUACAAGUUUAAUACCACUUCAACGUGCUUGUACUCUGUGCCUCUUUGUGGAUU